UGCCAGCCGCCGCGGUAAUACGGAGGGUGCAAGCGUUGUUCGGAAUUAUUGGGCGUAAAGAGCAUGUAGGCGGACUAUUAAGUCUGGCGUGAAAGCCCGGGGCUCAACCCCGGAAGUGCGUUGGAUACUGGUAGUCUUGAGUAUGGGAGAGGAAAGUGGAAUUCCGAGUGUAGGAGUGAAAUCCGUAGAUAUUCGGAGGAACACCAGUGGCGAAGGCGGCCACCUGGACGGUGACUGACGCUCAGGCCCGAAAGCGUGGGGAGCAAACAGGAUGAGAUA
rnacentral:rRNA from 1 species